CCUACGGGAGGCAGCAGUAGGGAAUCUUCCACAAUGGGCGAAAGCCUGAUGGAGCAACGCCGCGUGGGUGAAGAAGGUCUUCGGAUCGUAAAACCCUGUUGGUAGAGAAGAAAGUGCGUGAGAGUAACUGUUCACGUUUCGACGGUAUCUAACCAGAAAGCGACGGCUAACUACGUGCCAGCAGCCGCGGUAAUACGUAGGUGGCAAGCGUUAUCCGGAUUGGUUGGGCGUAAGGGGAACGCAGGCGGUCUGUUAAGUCUGAUGUGAAAGCCCUCGGCUUAACCGGUGGAGUGCAUUGGAAACUGGGUGACUGGAGUGCAGGAGAGGAAGGUGGAACUCCAGGUGUAGCGGUGAAAUGCGUAGAUAUAUGGAAGAACACCAGUGGCGAGAGCGGCUCUCUGGACUGAAACUGACGCUGAGGUUCGAAAGCGUGGGUAGCAAACAGGAUUAGAUACCCGAGUAGUC
rnacentral:rRNA from 1 species